GAUGAACGCUAGCGGCAGGCUUAACACAUGCAAGUCGAGGGGCAGCGCGGGAUAGCAAUAUCCUGGCGGCGACCGGCGGAAGGGUGCGUAACGCGUGAGCGACAUGCCCGUUGCCCGGGGACAACCGGUGGAAACGCCGACUAAUCCCCGAUGGGAUAUUGUGCCGCAUGGCACGAUAUUGAAAGUUACGGCGGCGACGGAUUGGCUCGCGUCCGAUUAGCUUGUUGGCGGGGUAACGGCCCACCAAGGCCGCGAUCGGUAGGGGUUCUGAGAGGAAGGCCCCCCACAAUGGGACUGAGACACGGCCCAUACUCCUACGGGAGGCAGCAGUGAGGAAUAUUGGUCAAUGGGCGGAAGCCUGAACCAGCCAUGCCGCGUGCGGGAAGGAGGCCCUAUGGGCUGUGAACCGCUUUUGCCUGGGGGCAAUAAGGGCGUCGCGCACGUCCGAUGAGAGUACCAGGCGAAUAAGCAUCGGCUAACUCCGUG
rnacentral:rRNA from 1 species